UCACUACUGAGGAGUUCGAUAAUAGGACGAAACGGCCGUCUAGUAC
rfam:Schistosoma margrebowiei strain Zambia genome assembly, scaffold: SMRZ_contig0000043